GUAGGUUGACAUAUAAGUCAGCUGUGAAAGUUUACGGCUCAACCGUGAAAUUGCAGUUGAUACUGUAUGUCUUGAGUGUACAAGAGGUGGGCGGAAUUCGUGGUGUAGCGGUGAAAUGCUUAGAUAUCACGAAGAACUCCAAUUGCGAAGGCAGCUCACUGGGGUACAACUGACACUGAGGCUCGAAAGUGUGGGUAUCAAACAGGAUUAGAUACCCUGGUAGUCCACGCCCUAAACGAUGUACACUAGUUGUUGUGAGACUUGAUCUUGCAGUAAUGCAGUUAACACAUUAAGUGUACCGCCUGGGGAGUACGGUCGCAAGAUUAAAACUCAAAGGAAUAGACGGGGACCCGCACAAGCGGUGGAGCAUGUGGUUUAAUUCGACGAUACACGAAGAACCUUACCUGGACUUGACAUAGUAAGAACUUUCUAGAGAUAGAUUGGUGUCUGCUUGCAGAAACUUAUAUACAGGUGCUGCACGGCUGUCGUCAGCUCGUGUCGUGAGAUGUUGGGUUAAGUCCCGCAACGAGCGCAACCCUCGUGUUUAGUUGCUAACAGUUCGGCUGAGAACUCUAAACAGACUGCCUACGCAAGUAGGAGGAAGGUGAGGACGACGUCAAGUCAUCAUGGCCCUUACGUCCAGGGCUACACACGUGCUACAAUGGGAUAUACAAAGAGCGGCAAUACGGUGACGUGGAGCAAAUCUUAUAAAAUAUCUCCCAGUUCGGAUUGUAGUCUGCAACUCGACUACAUGAAGUUGGAAUCGCUAGUAAUCGUAGAUCAGCUAUGCUACGGUGAAUACGUUCCCGGGUCUUGCACUCACCGCCCGUC
rnacentral:rRNA from 1 species